rnacentral:lncRNA from 10 species
GAAGAUCACUUUGAUUGCCAUGUGGAGAGUGAACUGUGGGAGGACCCCAGUGGAGGCAGGAAGACUAAACCAGAAGACAGUCACAGUAGUCCAGAUAAGAGAUGCAUAUGUUAUCAAUCGCCAUGUGAAGAAGAUGCUUGCUUCCCCUUUGCCUUCUGCCAUGAUUGUGAGUUUCGCGAGGCCUCCACAGCCAUGCUUCCUGUACUGCAGAACUGUCUUCGAUUAGAUAUUACUUCUUCUGAACAAUCUUCCUUGAUGACCCAGCUACUUUACAUCUCUGGAUGGAAUCCUCCUCUUUGCUCUAAUG